CAGCCGCCGCGGUAAUACAGAGGGUGCGAGCGUUAAUCGGAUUUACUGGGCGUAAAGCGUGCGUAGGCGGCUUCUUAAGUCGGAUGUGAAAUCCCUGAGCUUAACUUAGGAAUUGCAUUCGAUACUGGGAAGCUAGAGUAUGGGAGAGGAUGGUAGAAUUCCAGGUGUAGCGGUGAAAUGCGUAGAGAUCUGGAGGAAUACCGAUGGCGAAGGCAGCCAUCUGGCCUAAUACUGACGCUGAGGUACGAAAGCAUGGGGAGCAAACAGGAUUAGAGACCCCGGUAGUCCCUGUCUCUUAUAC
rnacentral:rRNA from 1 species